rnacentral:rRNA from 1 species
GAUGAACGCUAGCGGCAGGCCUAAUACAUGCAAUUCGAACGAGAUUAAGGAGCUUGCUUCUUAUGAAAGUGGCGCACGGGUGCGUAACGCGUAUGCAACCUACCUUAAUCAGGGGGAUAGCCCGAAGAAAUUCGGAUUAACACCGCAUAAAAACACAGGCUAGCAUUAUCCAAUGUUCAAAGAUUUCUAGGAUUAAGAUGGGCAUGCAUGUCAUUAGCUAGUUGGCGGGAUAACGGCCCACCAAGGCGACGAUGACUAGGGGAUCUGGGAGAAUGACCCCCCACACUGGUACUGAGACACUGACCAGACUCCUACGGGAGGCAGCAGUAAGGAAUAUUGGUCAAUGGAGGCAACUCUGAACCAGCCAUGCCGCGUGCAGGAAGACUGCCCUAUGGGUUGUAAACUGCUUUUAUCCGGGAAUAAACCUUUUUACGUGUAAGAAGCUGAAUGUACCGGAAGAAUAAGGAUCGGCUAACUCCGUGCCAGCCGCCGCAGUAAGAC